CCUACGGGUGGCUGCAGUGGGGAAUAUUGGACAAUGGGCGAAAGCCUGAUCCAGCCAUGCCGCGUGUGUGAAGAAGGCCUUCGGGUUGUAAAGCACUUUCAGUGGGGAAGAAAGCCUUGGGGCUAAUACCCUCGAGGAAGGACAUCACCCACAGAAGAAGCACCGGCUAACUCCGUGCCAGCAGCCGCGGUAAUACGGAGGGUGCGAGCGUUAAUCGGAAUUACUGGGCGUAAAGCGCGCGUAGGCGGUCUGAUAAGCCGGUUGGGAAAGCCCCGGGCUCAACCUGGGAACGGCAUCCGGAACUGUCAGGCUAGAGUGCAGGAGAGGAAGGUAGAAUUCCCGGAGUAGCGGUGAAAUGCGUAGAGAUCGGGAGGAAUACCAGUGGCGAAGGCGGCCUUCUGGACUGACACUGACGCUGAGGUGCGAAAGCGUGGGUAGCAAACAGGAUUAGAUACCCUAGUAGUC
rnacentral:rRNA from 1 species